GGAGGGUAUAGCUCAGUGGUAGAGUGUGUGCUUCGCGUGCAAGAGGUCCUGGGUUCAAUCCCCAGUUACCUCCA